rnacentral:rRNA from 1 species
UACGGGGGGGGGCAAGCGUUGUUCGGAAUUACUGGGCGUAAAGGGCUCGUAGGCGGCCAACUAAGUCAGACGUGAAAUCCCUCGGCUUAACCGGGGAACUGCGUCUGAUACUGGAUGGCUUGAAUCCGGGAGAGGGAUGCGGAAUUCCAGGUGUAGCGGUGAAAUGCGUAGAUAUCGAGAGGAACACCAGUGGCGAAGGCGAGUCUCUGGACAUUUUCCUGACGCUGAGGCACGAAAGCCAGGGGGAGCAAACGGG